ensembl:antisense Gm13442 predicted gene 13442
AGAGCAAGCCGGCAGCCAGGGGCCCACAGGGACACAGGAAGGGGAAAGGGCCUGCUCCUGACUCUUUGGGGGGACCUCUGACUCAAAGCCCUAUGGAAAGUGGGGCAUUCUGGAUGAAUCAGAGCUGCAGCCCAGUCCUGUGGGGCCAAGGGAGCCUGUGUGCUAUGGGCUGAGGAAGCAGCCAGCUCUCUCUCUCUCUCUCUCUCUCUCUCUCUCUCUCUCUCUCUCUCUCUCUCGGGGCUAUUGGGCCAGCAGCCCUGGCUCACCUUUGAAGGCUGCGAGCUUUUCCGGCAGGUUCUCUUCAUCACUGUACUUCUGGUCACAGAGGAACUCCUAUAGAGGACACCAAGCUCCCGGGAUGUGAGAAGCUGUGAGCUCCAGAGACUGCUGAUGAGGCUGCCAUUCGUUUCUAAGGUCUGUGUCCUCAGCAAAUGACCUCUCUGUGCUCGGCGGACCAUUACCUUCCCCACUCUGUGCUCAGCAGACCAUUACCUUCCCCACCUGGUGAGCAUCAAGGCUGAACUACUCAGUAAGUCUGCAAAGAUAACAUGGGAGGCAAGAGUGGCUUUGGCAACAUUACCUCUGCUCUGACCAGAAACUGACUGAAUGAAUCAGCCAUCUUCAGCCUCCGCCCUCACCUGUCAGAUGAGGGUUAAUCCCUAG